AUGAGUCUGGCGGAGGCGAGGAGGGAGGGCGUCCCGGGGGUCGACGGCGGGACGGGCGAGACCGGGGGACGGCGAGGAGGCGGGCGGCGGAGGAGCGGAGCGUGCGGGUUGGCCGGCGGAGAGAGAGGAGGGAGGAGAGGUAGGAAGGGGCGAGGCGACGGAGAGCCUCGAAGCCUAGAGCGAGGAGUUUCCGUUUGGAGCGGAGGUCGACGGGGCAACCGCCGGAGGUGUCUGAGAAGGGGCGUGACAGGCCCAGAGCCUUUCUGCGGGAGCGAGCCGUGGAGCCGGUCUAGAACGUCGCCAUCAGAUACGGUCAAGCGUCCAGGUUCACCGGCUAGUGGCUCUGGAGUUUGUCCUAAGCAGACUGAAGGGAUACCGAUUCCGCCGGCGGGGUUUAGUGGUUAGCGCUUGGGCCUAGGAGUCAGAGGGACCCGGGUUCUAAUCCCGGCUCUGCCUCGUCCCUGCUCGGUGGCCUUGGGCGAAUCCCUUCUUGUUACUCCUCUGUGAAACGGGGAUUGAAAGCGUGAGUCCUUUGUGGGACGGGGACUGUGCCCGAUCAGGUUAACUUGUAUCCACCCUAGUGCUUAGGACAGUGUGGGGUACAUAAUAAUAACGUCGGUAUUCGUCGGGCGCUUACUACGGGCAGAGCACCGUUCCAAGCGCGGGGGGAGAUACGGGCUCAUCAGGUCGUCCCACGUAAGGGGUCACGGUCCUCCUCCCCCAUUUUCCAGAUGAGGGAACUGAGGCCGAGAGGAGCGGAGUGACUCGCCCACGGUCACCCAGCUGCCAAGCGGCAGAGCCGGGAUUCGGACCCAUGACCUCUGACUCCCAAAGCCGGGCUCUUUCCACUGAGCCGCUCUGAAGCAGAUUAACUUCUGCCAAUCAGGUUGUUCCACAGUCUUAAUCCCCCAUUUUACAGUUGAGGGAACCGAGAAACGCAGAAGUGAGGUCACUCGCCCGAGGUCACCCGGCGGACGGGUGGUGGGUCUGGGAUUAGAACCCGGGUCCUUCUGACUCCCAGGCCUGGCCUCUAUUUCGCCACGUGACCUCUCUCUAUUACGACCUCUCCGUUACGCCACGUGAGAAGCGGCGCGGCUCGGUGGAAAGGGCCCGGGCCUGGGAGUCGGAGAUCCUGAGUUCGAAUCCCAGCUCCGCCCCUCGGCUGUGUGACUGCGGGCGAGUCGCUUCACUUCUCGGUGCCUCGGUUCCCUCAUCCGUAAGACGGGGAUGAAGACCGUGAGCCUCCCGUGGGACAACCCGAUGACCCCGUGUCUCCCCCAGCGCUUAGAACGGUGCUCGGCACCUAGUAAGCGCCGAACAAACACCGACGUUGUUAUUCUCCAGGGCUUGGCACACAGGAAGUGCUAAACGGAUAUCAUUAUUAUUAAUAAAAUAGAGGCCUGCUGCUGCCGGGAAGGGCUCCUCGCCCCUCCGGGCAGGGCUGGCCUUCAUCUAAACUGACGCAACUGUCCCGACAUUCCCGAAAGAGGGAAGGUGGGGACUUGAGUGAGGAAGGAAUUUAAUCCCAGCAGUGGCAGACAGGGAGAGGGAAAAGGCCGAUGGAGCCGUUGGGUGUCUUCCCUCCUCCCUCCUCCAACAUAGCAACCUUCCCGUCUCCCAUCAUUCGUUCCUAUUUAUUGAGCACUCACCGCGUGCAGAGCCCGUUCCUAAGGCGUCUCGUCUGCGACGGUUUGUUCCCGCGAAGCAUCCGGACGUCAGGAUUGAGAGGAUUGAAUUUUUAAGCUUCAUCUUAUCCCCGUGAAGCUCCCGUGCCUGACAGUCCAGCAACCCGGUGAGUCUGACCCGGCUCCGGCGACCCAACUCCUUGAGGAUGGGAAUCGUGUCUACUGACUGCACCAUUCUACUCUCUCGAAUACUUCGGUGCUUUGCUCUGCGAACGGAAAGCGCUCAGUAGAUACCAAUAUUUGAACGAGUCCGGCUGCCAAGAGAGGAGAAAACCGUCUUUUCGGCCAGCUGGGAGACAGGGUGGCUGGAGAUGGAGAUGAUGCUAAUGAAAACCAUUUAAAAUUAAAGUUCAAAUGCAUGCCAAUGAUGAGUACAAUUAAUGCAUUUACUGAGCACGGAUAUGAGAGAAAUUCGAUCGAAUGCUACUUAGAGCACAAUUAGGACCGACAAGAUUUUUUAAAAAUAGCUACAAAGGUCACGGAGACAUUUGCCAGGUCUCUACAUCGCCUUCCCCGCGUGGGCAUCGUUCCCGGGGACUCGGAUGUGAUCCUUGUCUGGAUGACUGGGGGCUGCACGUCACGGGUGAGCCGCGGGCGAGGAAUCUACAACAAA
rnacentral:lncRNA from 1 species